AUCACAGACACAUGGCCCAGAUAUAAUUCUCUAAUCCUGAGAGACAGCUGGUAUGUCUCCUUAAGCCACAAAAUCAAGGACAACUGUUCCAACCUGUGUAUCUCCCAGAAAGAGAAUCAAGUACAAUCUGAAGAGACUAAAUGGCAUUUUUGCCAACAUCAACUAAGACUCUCUUGGGGCUCUUCAUCUUAAUUCUUUGUGGAUUCCCAGGUGUUUUCAGCAAACUGAAAGAACCCUCUUAUGAAAAGUAUCUUUGUCAGAAGUACCCAAGAGACUAUGGACCUUGCUCAAGGAACUAUGAUCCAAUUUGUGGUAAAGAUGAUGUGACCUAUAUCAAUCUCUGCUUUUUUUGCUGGACAUUUUGGAAUGAAUAUCAAGGAAGAGUACAUUUUAGGAAGUUUGGUCGCUGCUCUCAAAGGGAGACAUAGUUUUGAAAUGACUCUUUGGACCAUUCUAUUCCAUGAACUGACUACAGACAAAUACCUUCUCCUCAACUGGUCUUGCCUGUUCAUCAAUGGUUGUAUGCUAAGCAAAUUACUUUAAGUUUUAUUCAGAAGAAAUCUUUUUCUGAUUAUUACUAUUUUUGAAAUCAUAAGAUAUCAAGUCUAUGUUCAUUCCCUCUCCUGCCCAGACAUACUUAAUUAAAAUGCUAUUUCUGACUAAAGCAUGACCUGAUAGGAGGUCAAAUUUUCUACCUAGGGAUAUGAAGAUAAAAUUGUGCAAAAACUUAUAAUGGAACAUAUGUGAUUUUCCAGAGAUAUGGUGGCAGAUAGCAAUAUUAGAGAGAAAGGGUGCCAUCCUGUAGUUAAAGUGACUAGGACUUAAUUUUGGCUCUGUAAUUAAAUCAUUGUGUAACCUAGGAUAAGUCAUUUCUUUUCUGCAAGCCUCAAUUUCCUUUUCAGUAAAAUGAGGGUGUUCCAGUUAUGACAUUCUAUGUUACAUGUUCUAAAGCCCCUUUCCUCUGUAUAAGUCCUGGGUUUAACAUCAUGACACCUCCUAGCAGUAUAAACA
rnacentral:lncRNA from 1 species